rnacentral:rRNA from 1 species
ACGGGUGAGUAAUGCCUAGGAAUCUGCCUGGUAGUGGGGGAUAACGUUCGGAAACGGACGCUAAUACCGCAUACGUCCUACGGGAGAAAGCAGGGGACCUUCGGGCCUUGCGCUAUCAGAUGAGCCUAGGUCGGAUUAGCUAGUUGGUGAGGUAAUGGCUCACCAAGGCGACGAUCCGUAACUGGUCUGAGAGGAUGAUCAGUCACACUGGAACUGAGACACGGUCCAGACUCCUACGGGAGGCAGCAGUGGGGAAUAUUGGACAAUGGGCGAAAGCCUGAUCCAGCCAUGCCGCGUGUGUGAAGAAGGUCUUCGGAUUGUAAAGCACUUUAAGUUGGGAGGAAGGGCAUUAACCUAAUACGUUAGUGUUUUGACGUUACCGACAGAAUAAGCACCGGCUAACUCUGUGCCAGCAGCCGCGGUAAUACAGAGGGUGCAAGCGUUAAUCGGAAUUACUGGGCGUAAAGCGCGCGUAGGUGGUUUGUUAAGUUGGAUGUGAAAUCCCCGGGCUCAACCUGGGAACUGCAUUCAAAACUGACUGACUAGAGUAUGGUAGAGGGUGGUGGAAUUUCCUGUGUAGCGG